UUCCCACACCGGGACUUGAACCCGGGCCUCCUGGGUGAGAGCCAGGUAUCCUAACCACUAGACCAUGUGGGA
rnacentral:tRNA from 13 species